ACUCCUGUGGCCUAGUGGUUAGAACGUCAGCCUCAAAUGCGGUAGGCCAUGGGUUCGAUCCCCAGUCGAGUC